rfam:Salmo salar isolate Sally breed double haploid chromosome ssa04, whole genome shotgun sequence.
GUCGUGCACAUUUGUAAGUCGCUCUGGAUAAGAGCGUCUGCUAAAUGACUUAAU